GACGAACCGUGCGAACGUUAUUCGGAAUCACUGGGCUUAAAGCGCGUGUAGGCGGAUCGGCACGUCCGUGGCUGAAAGCCCCCGGCUCAACCGGGGAAGGGGCGCGGAUACGGCCGAUCUGGAGGGGGGUAGGGGACCUGGAACUUCCGGUGGAGCGGUGAAAUGCGUAGAGAUCGGAAAGAACACCAACGGCGAAAGCACUCUGCUGGCCGACACUGACACUGAGAGACGAAAGCUAGGGAGCGAAUGG
rnacentral:rRNA from 1 species